GUAGGGAAUCUUCCACAAUGGACGCAAGUCUGAUGGAGCAACGCCGCGUGAGUGAAGAAGGCUUUCGGGUCGUAAAACUCUGUUGUUGGAGAAGAAUGGUCGGCAGAGUAACUGUUGUCGGCGUGACGGUAUCCAACCAGAAAGCCACGGCUAACUACGUGCCAGCAGCCGCGGUAAUACGUAGGUGGCAAGCGUUAUCCGGAUUUAUUGGGCGUAAAGCGAGCGCAGGCGGUUUUUUAAGUCUGAUGUGAAAGCCCUCGGCUUAACCGAGGAAGCGCAUCGGAAACUGGGAAACUUGAGUGCAGAAGAGGACAGUGGAACUCCAUGUGUAGCGGUGAAAUGCGUAGAUAUAUGGAAGAACACCAGUGGCGAAGGCGGCUGUCUGGUCUGUAACUGACGCUGAGGCUCGAAAGCAUGGGUAGCGAACAGGAUUAGAUACCCUGGUAGUCCAUGCCGUAAAACGAUGAAUGCUAG
rnacentral:rRNA from 1 species